GGCCGGUUAGCUCAGCUGGUUAGAGCGUGGUGCUAAUAACGCCGAGGUCACGGGGUCGACCCCCGUACGGGCCA